rnacentral:rRNA from 1 species
UACAGAGGGUGCUAGCGUUAAUCGGAUUUACUGGGCGUAAAGCGUGUGUAGGCGGUUCGUUAAGUCGGGUGUGAAAUCCCUGGGCUCAACCCGGGAAUUGCAUUCGAUACUGGCGAGCUAGAGUACGGUAGAGGGCGGCGGAAUUCCGGGGUGUAGCGGUGGAAAUGCGUAGAUAUCCGGAGGAACACCGAUGGCGAAGGCAACCGCCUGGGCCUGUACUGACGCUGAGACACGAAAGCUAGGGGAGCGAACGGG